rnacentral:rRNA from 1 species
UACAGAAGAUGCAAACGUUGUUCGGAAUUACUGGGCGUAAAACGCGUGUAGACGGCGUCGUUAAUCGAAUGUGAAAGCCCUCGGCUCAACCGAGGAAGUGCAUCCGAUACUGCGACGCUUGAGUGUUAAAAAGAAUGGCGGAAUUCCCGAUAUAAAGGUGAAAUUCGUAGAUAUCGGGAAGAACACCUGUGACGAAGGCGGCCACCUGGACAACAACUGACGCUGAGACGCGAAAGCGUGGGUAGCAAACAGG